AGAGUUUGAUCCUGGCUCAGAUUGAACGCUGGCGGCAUGCUUUACACAUGCAAGUCGAACGGUAACGCGGGGGCAACCCUGGCGACGAGUGGCGAACGGGUGAGUAAUACAUCGGAACAUAUCCAGUAGCGGGGGAUAACCUAUCGAAAGAUGGACUAAUACCGCAUACGAUCUACGGAUGAAAGCAGGGGACCGCAAGGCCUUGCACUAUUGGAGUGGCCGAUGUCGGAUUAGCUAGUUGGUGAGGUAAAGGCUUACCAAGGCGACGAUCCGUAGCUGGUCUGAGAGGACGAUCAGCCACACUGGAAUUGAGACACGGUCCAGACUCCUACGGGAGGCAGCAGUGGGGAAUUUUGGACAAUGGGCGCAAGCCUGAUCCAGCCAUGCCGCGUGAGUGAAGAAGGCCUUCGGGUUGUAAAGCUCUUUCGGUGAAGACGAAACGGUUCGUGCUAAUAACGCGGACUAAUGACGGUACUCACAGAAGAAGCACCGGCUAACUACGUGCCAGCAGCCGCGGUAAUACGUAGGGUGCAGGCGUUAAUCGGAAUUACUGGGCGUAAAGCGUGCGCAGGCGGUUUGCUAAGACAGGUGUGAAAUCCCCGGGCUUAACCUGGGAAUUGCGCUUGUAACUGGCAAGCUAGAGUGUGGCAGAGGGGGGUGGAAUUCCACGUGUAGCAGUGAAAUGCGUAGAUAUGUGGAGGAACACCGAUGGUGAAGGCAGCCCCCUGGGUUAACACUGACGCUCAUGCACGAAAGCGUGGGGAGCAAACAGGAUUAGAUACCCUGGUAGUCCACGCCCUAAACUAUGUCAACUAGUUGUCGGGGAAGAAAUUCCUUGGUAACGAAGCUAACGCGUGAAGUUGACCGCAUGGGGAGUACGGCCGCAAGGUUAAAACUCAAAGGAAUUGACGGGGACCCGCACAAGCGGUGGAUUAUGUGGAUUAAUUCGAUGCAACGCGAAAAACCUUACCUACCCUUGACAUGCUAGGAAGCCCGCAGAGAUGUGGGUGUGCCCGAAAGGGAACCUAGACACAGGUGCUGCAUGGCUGUCGUCAGCUCGUGUCGUGAGAUGUUGGGUUAAGUCCCGCAACGAGCGCAACCCUUGCCAUUAGUUGCUACAUUCAGUUGGGCACUCUAAUGGGACCGCCGGUGACAAACCGGAGGAAGGUGGGGAUGACGUCAAGUCCUCAUGGCCCUUAUGGGUAGGGCUUCACACGUAUACAAUGGUCGGUACAGAGGGCUGCCAACCCGCAAGGGGGAGCUAAUCCCAGAAAGCCGAUCGUAGUCCGGAUUGUAGUCUGCAACUCGACUGCAUGAAGCCGGAAUCGCUAGUAAUCGCGGAUCAGCAUGUCGCGGUGAAUACGUUCCCGGGUCUUGUACACACCGCCCGUCACACCAUGGGAGUGGGUUCCACCAGAAGUAGUUAGCCUAACCGCAAGGAGGGCGAUUACCACGGUGAGAUUCAUGACUGGGGUGAAGUCGUAACAAGGUA
rnacentral:rRNA from 1 species